GACGAACGCUUGCGGCGUGCCUAAGAAAUGCAAGUCGAGCGAGGAUUCACGCUGACCGAAGCUUCGGCAGAGGUCUUGUGAAGCCUAGCGGCGAACGGUCGCGUAACACGUAAGCAACCUGCCCUGAAGUGUGGGAUAGCCCUCCGAAAGGAGGAUUAAUACCGCAUGUGGAUACGAUGUCGCAUGGCAACGUAUCUAAAGCAGCAAUGCGCUUCAGGAUGGGCUUGCGGCCUAUCAGCUAGUUGGUGGGGUAACGGCCUACCAAGGCGACGACGGGUAGCUGGUCUGAGAGGAUGGGUCAGCCGGAUUGGGACUGAGACACGGCCCAGACUCCUACGGGGGCAGCAAUUAGGAAUCUUGCGCAAUGGGGGAAACCCUGACGCAGCGACGCCGCGUGAGCGAUGAAGUCUUUCGGGAUGUAAAGCUCUGUCCUGUGGGGAAGAAGAAUGUGACGGUACCCACAGAGAAAGCCCCGGCUAACUACGUG
rnacentral:rRNA from 1 species